GAGAAAAGGUCCUUCAGGAAUCGGAUGCGGUGAGGAAGAGGAGGACGAAGAGGCUCGCAGAACCAUCAGCCGCUUCUUUGGACACAUCGCUUGAAUGGCAUCUGAUUGCAUCUCAUCCACUCCUCUCUCUGAUGGCGAGCCCAAAUCACACUCCUCAAAAUGGGCACCAUAGUUAUGUUGCCAUGCUGUUCUCAAGUGGACAGGCCACAGACACAGAGCCUGUCACUGGAAAAACACUCACCAUUCAACAAACUCCGCAGCCAGUCUCUGCCCAUCAUGCCAGAUGGUCGCCCGGUACGUGAGCCAGUGAUAUCACUGAUGAUCUCACCACUGUUGGUCAGGUGUGGACUCAUGGGAUUGACGGGCCCGUGGGAACAAAUUGGAGUUUUAACCCCAAUUGUCCUCCAGUCUGUAGCUGAUGAGGCAUGUUGCAGGUGUGUGUUAAAAUGUGUU